rnacentral:rRNA from 1 species
AUUGAACGCUGGCGGCAGGCCUAACACAUGCAAGUCGAACGAGUGGCGGACGGGUGAGUAAUGUCUGGGAAACUGCCUGAUGGAGGGGGAUCACUACUGGAAACGGUAGCUAAUACCGCAUACCAUCAGAUGUGCCCAGAUGGGAUUAGCUGGUAGGUGGGGUAACGGCUCACCAAGGCGACGAUCCCUAGCUGGUCUGAGAGGAUGACCAGCCACACUGGAACUGAGACACGGUCCAGACUCCUACGGGAGGCAGCAGUGGGGAAUAUUGGACAAUGGGCGAAAGCCUGAUGCAGCCAUGCCGCGUGUGUGAAGAAGGUCUUCGGAUUGUAAAGCACUUUCAGUUGGGAGGCGUUACCAACAGAAUAAGCACCGACUAACUUCGUGCCAGCAGCCGCGGUAAUAC